rnacentral:rRNA from 1 species
ACCCUUGACAUGGCAGGAANCCUUUAGAGAUAGAGGAGUGCUCGAAAGAGAACCUGCACACAGGUGCUGCAUGGCUGUCGUCAGCUCGUGUCGUGAGAUGUUGGGUUAAGUCCCGCAACGAGCGCAACCCUUGCCAUUAGUUGCUACGAAAGGGCACUCUAAUGGGACUGCCGGUGACAAACCGGAGGAAGGUGGGGAUGACGUCAAGUCCUCAUGGCCCUUAUAGGUGGGGCUACACACGUCAUACAAUGGCUGGUACAAAGGGUUGCCAACCCGCGAGGGGGAGCUAAUCCCAUAAAGCCAGUCGUAGUCCGGAUCGCAGUCUGCAACUCGACUGCGUGAAGUCGGAAUCGCUAGUAAUCGUGGAUCAGAAUGUCACGGUGAAUACGUUCCCGGGUCUUGUACACACCGCCCGUCACACCAUGGGAGCGGGUCUCGCCAGAAGUAGGUAGCCUAACCGCAAGGAGGGCGCUUACCACGGCGGGGUUCGUGACUGGGGUGAAGUCGUAACAAGGUAAGCGUAGUGCU